UUAAUCGGAAUUACUGGGCGUAAAGCGCACGCAGGCGGUUGGAUAAGUUAGAUGUGAAAGCCCCGGGCUCAACCUGGGAAUUGCAUUUAAAACUGUCCAGCUAGAGUCUUGUAGAGGGGGGUAGAAUUCCAGGUGUAGCGGUGAAAUGCGUAGAGAUCUGGAGGAAUACCGGUGGCGAAGGCGGCCCCCUGGACAAAGACUGACGCUCAGGUGCGAAAGCGUGGGGAGCAAACAGGAUUAGAUACCCUGGUAGUCCACGCCGUAAACGAUGUCGAUUUGGAGGCUGUGUCCUUGAGACGUGGCUUCCGGAGCUAACGCGUUAAAUCGACCGCCUGGGGAGUACGGCCGCAAGGUU
rnacentral:rRNA from 1 species